UGGGAAGGUGGGGAUGACGUCAAGUCAGUAUGGCCCUUACGCCUAGGGCUGCACACGUGCUACAAUGCCCAGUACAGAAGGCCGCGAAACCGCGAGGUGGAGCAAAUCCUUAAAGCUGGGCCCAGUUCGGAUUGGAGUCUGCAACUCGACUCCAUGAAGCUGGAAUCGCUAGUAAUCGCGUAUCAGCCAUGACGCGGUGAAUACGUUCCCGGGCCUUGUACACACCGCCCGUCA
rnacentral:rRNA from 1 species